UACGUAGGGGGCUAGCGUUGUUCGGAUUCAUUGGGCGUAAAGGGUGCGUAGGCGGCGCGGUAAGUCGGGUGUGAAAUCUUGGAGCUUAACUCCGAAACUGCAUUCGAUACUGCCGUGCUUGAGGACUGGAGAGGAGACUGGAAUUUACGGUGUAGCGGUGAAAUGCGUAGAUAUCGUAAGGAAGACCAGUGGCGAAGGCGGGUCUCUGGACAGUUCCUGACGCUGAAGCACGAAGGCCAGGGGAGCAAACGGG
rnacentral:rRNA from 1 species